CUCCAAAAUCCAUUUCCACUUGUAUCAGCUUGAAAAGUGGUGAUUAAGUGUAGAGGAGGUACUGCUCAAAUUUGGUUUUGGAAAUCCUACACGGACAGCUGACGUAAAUCCUGUUUCCCUCCAUUACCCCUUCGAAACGAAGCGACAAGGUAAAACAGUAAGCUGUCCAGAUUUCACAUUUUGGAUAGUUUUGGCGAGUUUGACAAGUUUAACGUAAGGUUCGGAAGACGACGAGACGAGCAGGAUAAAGGGUAACUCCCAAAAGGUAUGUAAAGCUUUCUCUUGGCAUGUUUUGG